rnacentral:rRNA from 1 species
GCAAGUCGAACGAAGUAGCAAUACUUGGGUGGCAGACGGGUGAGUAACAUGUAGGUAUCUGCCCUUUGGCCUGGAAUAACACGAGGAAACUUGUGCUAAUACCGGAUAAGUCUUUACGGAGAAAGCUUUAUGCACCAUUGGAUGAGCCUGCACGUGAUUAGUUUGUUGGUGGGGUAAUGGCCUACCAAGACUGUGAUCAAUAGCUGAUUUGAGAGGAUGAUCAGCCACAUUGGGACUGAGACACGGCCCAAACUCCUACGGGAGGCAGCAGUGGGGAAUCUUGCACAAUGGAGGAAACUCUGAUGCAGCGACGCCGCGUGAGUGAAGAAGGCCCUUGGGUUGUAAAGCUCUUUCGUCGGGGAAGAAAAUGACUGUACCCGAAUAAGAAGGUCCGGCUAACUUCGUGCCAGCAGCCGCGGUAAUACGAAGGGACCUAGCGUAGUUCGGAAUUACUGGGCUUAAAGAGUUCGUAGGUGGUUGAAAAAGUUAGUGGUGAAAUCCCAGAGCUUAACUCUGGAACUGCCAUUAAAACUUUUCAGCUAGAGUAUGAUAGAGGAAAGCGGAAUUUCUAGUGUAGAGGUGAAAUUCGUAGAUAUUAGAAAGAAUACCAAUUGCGAAGGCAGCUUUCUGGAUCAUUACUGACACUGAGGAACGAAAGCAUGGGUAGCGAAGAGGAUUAGAUACCCUCGUAGUCCAUGCCGUAAACGAUGUGUGUUAGACGUUGGAAAUUUAUUUUCAGUGUCGCAGCGAAAGCGAUAAACACACCGCCUGGGGAGUACGACCG